GUUUUUGUUUCUUUGUAGACUUUUGGUACCCAUAGAAGCAUUUGAUCAGAGAUGUGAAUGCAGUUUUUAAGAAGAUCAUCUGACAGUGUCGUACAGAUAACUGCAGUAAGAAAAUACACACCAGUGAGAUGAGGUUAUGUUCACAGACAAAUGCAUUAACAGGAAAAGCUGUUGAAGAGAUUUUUCCAUUCAUGGAUUUUAAUGAGAAAGGAUGAAAAAUCAGAGUCCUCUUAAGGAUUAAGCAAAGGAUUGGGGUCUCAUUCUGUC